rnacentral:rRNA from 1 species
GAUGAACGCUAGCGGGAGGCCUAACACAUGCAAGCCGAGCGGUAGAGAUUCUUCGGAAUCUUGAGAGCGGCGUACGGGUGCGGAACACGUGUGCAACCUGCCUUUAUCAGGGGGAUAGCCUUUCGAAAGGAAGAUUAAUACCCCAUAAUAUAUUUGAUGGCAUCAUUAGAUAUUGAAAGCUUUGGCGGAUAGAGAUGGGCACGCGCAAGAUUAGAUAGUUGGUGAGGUAACGGCUCACCAAGUCGAUGAUCUUUAGGGGCCUGAGAGGGUGAUCCCCCACACUGGUACUGAGACACGGACCAGACUCCUACGGGAGGCAGCAGUGAGGAAUAUUGGACAAUGGGUUAGCGCCUGAUCCAGCCAUCCCGCGUGAAGGACGACGGCCCUAUGGGUUGUAAACUUCUUUUGUACAGGGAUAAACCUACUCUCGUGAGAGUAGCUGAAGGUACUGUACGAAUAAGCACCGGCUAACUCCGUG